UCUCUCAGAUUGAACGCUGGCGGCAGGCCUAACACAUGCAAGUCGAACGGUAACAUUUCUAGCUUGCUAGAAGAUGACGAGUGGCGGACGGGUGAGUAAUACUUAGGAAUAUGCCUUUGUGUGGGGGAUAACCAUUGGAAACGAUGGCUAAUACCGCAUAACGUCUUCGGACCAAAGGGGGCUUCGGCUCCCGCGCAAAGAGUAGCCUAAGCGAGAUUAGCUUGUUGGUGAGGUAAAGGCUCACCAAGGCGACGAUCUCUAGCUGUUCUGAGAGGAAGAUCAGCCACACUGGAACUGAGACACGGUCCAGACUCCUACGGGAGGCAGCAGUGGGGAAUAUUGCACAAUGGGGGAAACCCUGAUGCAGCCAUGCCGCGUGUGUGAAGAAGGCCUUCGGGUUGUAAAGCACUUUCAGUUGUGAGGAAAAGUUAGUAGUUAAUACCUGCUAGCCGUGACGUUAACAACAGAAGAAGCACCGGCUAACUCCGUGCCAGCAGCCGCGGUAAUACGGAGGGUGCGAGCGUUAAUCGGAAUUACUGGGCGUAAAGCGCACGCAGGCGGUUUGUUAAGCUAGAUGUGAAAGCCCCGGGCUCAACCUGGGAUGGUCAUUUAGAACUGGCAGACUAGAGUCUUGGAGAGGGGAGUGGAAUUCCAGGUGUAGCGGUGAAAUGCGUAGAUAUCUGGAGGAACAUCAGUGGCGAAGGCGACUCCCUGGCCAAAGACUGACGCUCAUGUGCGAAAGUGUGGGUAGCGAACAGGAUUAGAUACCCUGGUAGUCCACACCGUAAACGCUGUCUACUAGCUGUUUGUGGCUUUAAGCCGUGAGUAGCGAAGCUAACGCGAUAAGUAGACCGCCUGGGGAGUACGGCCGCAAGGUUAAAACUCAAAU
rnacentral:rRNA from 1 species